GAGGAACAUGUGUCCAGUCUUUUACGAACGUCUUCAGAGAAUGUGAUCUAUAUAUAUAAAGAAAGUACUACGACGAAUUCAAGGUCAUCAGGCUUGAAGUAACGUCUAGCUUGCUGCGAUGAAACGUCACAGUUAAAUUUAUUAAAAGAAAAUAUUAACACAUGACAGAGAGUUGAUAGCAGAGGCGUGCUCAUUGGAAUUAUCUUAGGGCGGAACAAGAAUGUCAGAAAUAAACAGAAGUUGUCAUAAUUAUGACAUGGAACACGAAUUUUAUAAUAAAAUAGAAAUUAUUAAUAGAUAAAUAAUUCGAAAAUUUUAAA